UACAGAGGUCUCAAGCGUUGUUCGGAUUCAUUGGGCGUAAAGGGUGCGUAGGCGGCGCGGUAAGUCGGGUGUGAAAUCUCGGAGCUUAACUCCGAAACUGCAUUCGAUACUGCCGUGCUUGAGGACUGGAGAGGAGACUGGAAUUUACGGUGUAGCGGUGAAAUGCGUAGAUAUCGUAAGGAAGACCAGUGGCGAAGGCGGGUCUCUGGACAGUUCCUGACGCUGAGGCACGGAGGUCAGGGGGAGCAAACGGGG
rnacentral:rRNA from 1 species